CACGUGGGUAACCUGCCUCAAAGUGGGGGAUAGCCUUUCGAANGGGAGAUUAAUACCGCAUAAGCCUCCGGUGCCGCAUGGCGCUGAAGGAAAAGGAGCAAUUCGCUUUGAGAUGGACCCGCGGCGCAUUAGCUAGUUGGUGAGGUAACGGCUCACCAAGGCCACGAUGCGUAGCCGACCUGAGAGGGUGAUCGGCCACAUUGGAACUGAGACACGGUNCAGACUCCUACGGGAGGCAGCAGUGGGGAAUAUUGCACAAUGGGCGAAAGCCUGAUGCAGCAACGCCCGCGUGAGUGAUGAAGGCCUUCNGGUCGUAAAGCUCUUUGAUCAGGGAUGAUAAUGACAGUACCUGAAAAACAAGCCACGGCUAACUACGUGCCAUCAGCCCGCGGUAAUACCUAAGUGGCGAAGCGUUGUNCCGGAAUUACUGGGCGUUAAGAUUCCGGUAGG
rnacentral:rRNA from 1 species